rnacentral:rRNA from 1 species
GACGAACGCUGGCGGCGUGCCUAAUACAUGCAAGUUGAGCGAUGAAGAUUGGUGCUUGCACCAAUUUGAAGAGCAGCGAACGGGUGAGUAACGCGUGGGGAAUCUGCCUUUGAGCGGGGGACAACAUUUGGAAACGAAUGCUAAUACCGCAUAAUAACUUUAAACAUAAGUUUUAAGUUUGAAAGAUGCAAUUGCAUCACUCAAAGAUGAUCCCGCGUUGUAUUAGCUAGUUGGUGAGGUAAAGGCUCACCAAGGCGAUGAUACAUAGCCGACCUGAGAGGGUGAUCGGCCACAGUGGGACUGAGACACGGCCCAAACUCCUACGGGAGGCAGCAGUAGGGAAUCUUCGGCAAUAGACGAAAGUCUGACCGAGCAACGCCGCGUGAGUGAAGAAGGUUUUCGGAUCGUAAAACUCUGUUGGUAGAGAAGAACGUUGGUGAGAGUGGAAAGCUCAUCAAGUGACGGUAACUACCCAGAAAGGGACGGCUAACUACGUG